CAAGCAGUUUCUAGUGUGUCCGGCACUGUUGGUGUCGAACUGCCUUGCGAUUCCCUGGGACUUAACGAGGAGAUACUUUGCACUGGCAACAUAAAGUUGAAAGCGCCAAGCACACUUGAGCUUGAGGAGUGUGUUGGCGACUACCUCCAGACUUGCAAAAAUAAAAAGCCAGUAACCGAACCAACGAUAACAGGCCUCGUCAGAAUAAUCGCGUGCCUCAUCUCAACCGCCCUGCAUACCAGUCCUGCCGAUGAAGCUCAAGACUUGGCAUGCCUCCUCGUAAGACUGCCAGCUACAGUUAUUGGGAGCCCGGCAUAUCACACAUUGGAACCAUUUGUUGAUGCAAUCUCUCAGGCUUUCAACAUAGAUUGCAGUUCCACUGUGUUCUGCUGAGAUUCGCGAUACUCACUUGUUAUCCUCUGCGAAGCUCGAGAAACCUACAUACAAGAACACGAGAUCUUCACAAUAUGUACUAAUGCGUUAUCAACAAUAUAC